GUCUCUGAUGAUGAUUUAAGUUGAAAAACUUUCGUUCUUCUGAGAGAAAAUCCAUGAGGAAUGCUUUUGGAGACCUGAACUGAAGGGAC